rnacentral:rRNA from 1 species
CGGUAAAAGAUGGACUCGCGUCCCAUUAGAUAGAUGGCGGGGUAACGGCCCACCAUGUCAACGAUGGGUAGCCGAGCUGAGAGGCUGAACGGCCACACUGGAACUGAGACACGGUCCAGACUCCUACGGGAGGCAGCAGUGGGGAAUAUUGGGCAAUGGGCGCAAGCCUGACCCAGCAACGCCGCGUGAGGGAAGAAGGCUUUCGGGUUGUAAACCUCUGUCCUUGGUGACGAAACAAAUGACGGUAGCCAAGGAGGAAGCCCCGGCUAACUACGUGCCAGCAGCCGCGGUAAUACGUAGGUGGCAAACGUUGUCCGGAAUUACUGGGCGUAAAGGGCGAGUAGGUGGUUUAUUAAGUCAGAAGUGAAAACUCCGGGCUCAACUUGGAGACUGCUCCUGAAACUGGUAGACUUGAGUGCAAGAGAGGGAAGUGGAAUUCCUAGUGUAGCGGUGAAAUGCGUAGAUAUCGGGAGGAAUACCGGUGGCGAAGGCGACCACCUGGCCAAAUACUGACGCUGAGGUGCGAAAGCGUGGGGAGCAAACAGGAUUAGAUACCCUGGUAGUCCACGCUGUAAACGAUGAAUACUAGGUGUCGGGGGUCAAAGCCCGGUGCCGCAGCUAACGCAUUAAGUAUUCCGCCUGGGGAGUACGGUCGCAAGACUGAAACUCAAAGGAAUUGACGGGGGCCCGCACAAGCGGUGGAGUAUGUGGUUUAAUUCGACGCAACGCGAAGAACCUUACCAGGUCUUGACAUCCCUCUGACCGGUCCGUAACGGGACCUUUCCUUCGGGACAGAGGAGACAGGUGGUGCAUGGUUGUCGUCAGCUCGUGUCGUGAGAUGUUGGGUUAAGUCCCGCAACGAGCGCAACCCUUAUUUUUAGUUGCCAGCACUACGGGUGGGCACUCUAAAGAGACUGCCGGGGAUAACUCGGAGGAAGGUGGGGAUGACGUCAAAUCAUCAUGCCCCUUAUGUUUUGGGCUACACACGUGCUACAAUGGCGAUAACAAAGGGAAGCAAAACUGCGAAGUGGAGCAAACCCCAGAAAAAUCGUCCCAGUUCGGAUUGUAGUCUGCAACUCGACUACAUGAAGUUGGAAUCGCUAGUAAUCGCGAAUCAGAAUGUCGCGGUGAAUACGUUCCCGGGUCUUGUACACACCGCCCGUCA